UGUUUAUAUAGACCACCGUGCCAAUCCAAUCAGCAACAUUUUUCAAGUGGAAUACAUUAGCAACUAAACUUUGACGUAAGCUUAGUGUUCUCGGUAUUCAUUCUCAGCCAUGUGCACUGCAAGGUUUGUCAGCUUUUAACCUGUUAGAUCCAUUCCAGUGAGGAUCUGAUAUGCAGAAUGCUUGGUGCUAACAACUUUGUUGAGGUACCAAUUUAUAUCUGCAGGGUUAGAUUGAGGAUGAGGAGAAGAAUCCACAUUGGAAAUGGUAGGAGGAUGUUUGAGGAAGAAGCCAUCUUUACAGCCUCCUGAUUGCUGGACUUAUGAACUACUUCAGCAGGGUACUUACCAUCAGAAAUCCUGUAUCAAAAAAGGAAAAAACAGACACAUUCAUAAAUGUAUAAAUUUUCUCCCAUUAAGAAAUGAUGUAAAGCUCAAUCUUGAUGCAGGAAAAUGAAAGCAUACCCCUUAGCAUUAGGGCAGAAAAGGAUGGCAUAAUCAUGGGCCUUGCAUGUGAAAGUACUGGUACCAUCAUCAAAGGCAUAGCUAUAAGCUCUCGGGCAAGC
rnacentral:lncRNA from 1 species